rnacentral:rRNA from 1 species
CCUACGGGGUGCAGCAGUGAGGAAUAUUGGUCAAUGGACGAGAGUCUGAACCAGCCAAGUAGCGUGAAGGAUGACUGCCCUAUGGGUUGUAAACUUCUUUUAUAUGGGAAUAAAAUGUUCCACGUGUGGGAUUUUGUAUGUACCAUAUGAAUAAGGCUCGGCUAACUCCGUGCCAGCAGCCGCGGUAAUACGGAGGAUCCGAGCGUUAUCCGGAUUUAUUGGGUUUAAAGGGAGCGUAGGUGGAUUGUUAAGUCAGAUGUGAAAGUUUGCGGCUCAACCGGAAAAUUGCAGUUGAAACUGGCAGUCUUGAGUACAGUAGAGGUGAGCGGAAUUCGUGGUGUAGCGGUGAAAUGCUUAGAUAUCACGAAGAACUCCAGUUGCGAAGGCAGUUCACUGGACUGCAACUGACACUGAGGCUCGAAAGUGUGGGUAUCAAACAGGAUUAGAUACCCUUGUAGUC